AGGUCCUUCUUCCUCUCCCUAUACUGUUCCACCAACCUCCGUACCAGGUGAAUUGCCUCCGUCGUCGAGCGGCCAGGCAUAAAUCCAAACUGGUUUUCUGAAAUAGACACUAUCCGUCUCAGCCUCACCUCGACCACUCUCUCCCAGAUUUUCAUAGAGUGACUCAAUAACUUAAUACCCCUAUAGUUGUUGCAACUCUGGAUGUCCCCCUUAUUCUUAUAGAGAGGUAUCAUGGUGCUCCACCUCCAAGCCUCGGGCAUCUUUGCCGUCUUGAAGAUUUCAUUAAACAAUCCCGUCAACCACCUCAGACCAGCCUCUCCAACGAACUUCCAAAACUCGACCGGUAUCUCAUCCGGCCCCGUCGCCCUACCCCUUCGCAUUCUGCGAACAGCCUGUCUAACCUCUUCUACCUUAAAACGUCUACAAUAGCUAAAAUCCCGACACUCCUCUGAGUGCUCCAGUUCCCCUAACACAAUAGCUCUAUCCCCUUCGUCAUUCAAGAGCCUAUGAAAGUACGACUGCCAUCUAUUCUUAAUGUGGCCGUCUUCCACCAACACUCUACCGUCCUCCCCCUUAAUGCACCUCACCUGAUCGAGGUCACGACCCUUCCUCUCCCUAGCCCUAGGGAGUCUAAACAACUUUUUCUCCCCUCCCUUCCCCUGUAACCCUGCAUACAGGCUCUCAAAGGCGGCCGUCUUAGCUGCCGUGACUGCUGACUUAGCCUCCUUCCUCGCUAGCUUGUACUCUUUCCUAUUUACCCGCUUCUUCUCUUCGUCCUUACUCUCCACCAACUUGGCAUACGCCUCUUUCUUGGUCCCCACUUUCUUCUCCACCUCUUCAUUCCACCACCAAUCCCCCUGAUGGUGCCCGGCCCGGCCCCUAGAAACCCCCAACACCUCACUUGCAUUCUCCCUGAUGCACUUUGCCGCCCUGUCCCACAUACUAUCCACGUCCCCCCUACACUCCCACACCCCCAUUCCCGCCAACCUCUCCCCUAUCUCUCACACAUUCACUGGCGUCAGGCCGCCCCACUUAAUUCUAGGUCUACACUCCUUACUCCUCCUCUUUCUAUUCUUCUUUAUACCCAAAUCCAUAACCAAGAGCCUAUGCUGGGUCGAAAGAUUCUCACUCGGGAUGACUUUACAGUCCUUACACAACGCCCUAUCCCCUUUCCUAAGCAACAAAAAGUCAAUCUGGGUCCUGGCUAUCGCGCUUCGAAAGGUGAUCAGGUGCUCGUCCUUCUUCGGGAAGCCCGAGUUCACCACCACCAGCCCAAAGGACCUCGCAAACAGCAAGAAGAACAAUACAAAAAUAUAAAUAUCAACAAUUGAGCAUUGAACAUAGAUUUCACUAACAUCAAACUGAAAGAGAAAGAUUUUUCCUUUUUGAUUGGUCUAAUAGAAAUGACUUCUAUAAACCAAGAAAAAUGAAAUCAAGAGAAAAAAUGAAUUGCAACUAAAUUUAAGUAAAUCCUCAUAAGGAAAGAUCCCACAUGCAUACAUAAAAUUAUAACAACAGAAACUACUUUGAACAACAAAAAAUAACUGAUGUCAUUAAAAACUUUCAAAGCUUGAGUACCUUUACUCACACUGCGGCCAAGGUUGUUGUUUACUCGUAAAGGAUCAAUCACGUUAAAAUAUUUAGACACAAACGGUUGUCCUUGGCUUUCCUGGCCGCCAGGGAAAACAGCAUAUACAGAGCUACAGGCAUCAAGAAACAAUUUGCUGAGGAGCAAUUCUCCACUAUCUUUUCGAGGAGGUUCCGCUGCAUGUUCCAACUACACUUAAGCUAACAAAUAAACUCACAUCAAAGUACAAGGAAAACAGAACUAAAAGUGACUCUUCUACAUAUCUUUACCAGUGACAUCAGGAAGUGAACUAAUUGGCACAGGCCCCCACAAGCUAACACAAAAGUUGUCCCAAUCAAAGUUGCUGAAGAACUCCAAGAAGCGAUAAAGAACCUGCAAGUAUAAAAUACAAGCCUUUUUUGAGAAUGAAGUAUAAAAUACAAAACUUCAAAGGAUAGAAAUUCACACUAAGAACCAAAAAAUAAAAGAAAGAGAGAGAAAAAGUAAAAGUUGCAACUUAGUAACCUCUAGAGGCCCAACAAACGAAUUGUUGAACAUGUGAAAUAUAUAAAGAACUAAGGUCUCCAAGGCAUAAGUUGAAAUAAGACCAUGAUGAGCACCCAAUAAACGGCUCUCAUAAUAACACCACGCCUUAAUUAAAAUAAUGCUGCGCUUGAAUAAAUGAUUCUGGUUUAUCAGGUGAUCGACCUACAACAGACGAACAAGUACAGAUUUCAUUUCCUUUUAUUUUUUUGGAAACUGAAAAUAAAAUGGUACAUUAACGUUAUGACCAUAUCAUCAAAUAUCAGAUUUUUUUUCCAUUGUAAGAAGAAACUACAUACCUCCUCAAGGAAGCAAAGGGUACACAAACCCCCUAGCUGAUUGAAAGAUAUGUCAACCACGAUAUUUUCAACUAAACAUUUUAUUAGCUUCACCUGCAAUAGAAAGGGGAAGAGAACAAUGAAAAGUGAGUGCACAAAAAUAAAAGAAUAUUAAUGAUUAUGGUGCAUAGGAAUACAAAUGAAGAAAUGUAAAGUAUAACACCCAAGAACUUAAGCAGCAUUUGCCUUCUCCAAGUAUAAUAAUAAGACAUCAAUAUAUAAAUAAAUUAUUGAUUAUUCAUGUUAAAAUAUUAGCUUCAAAUCCAAAUGACAUUUCAAUAACUCAAAUUAAAAAGCCACUUCCUCAACACUACAAUAUCCUCAUUAACAAAGUUCAAUCCCAGGAAAAAACGUAAACUACAACAACCUACCCAGUGUAAUAGUGUAAUCCCCCAACUGGGGUUUGGGGAGGGUAGGAGGUACACAUACCUUACACCUAUCUUUCUAGGGUAGAAAGGUAGUUCCCGAUAGACCAUCUGAAGGUAAAAGUGUAAAGUGAGGGCAAUAACUCAAAACUUGCAAAAACAUGGCGGCAACCAAUAUGCCAUCCCCAUGCGAAAAUCCCGAAGGUGCAAGAAAUAGCAUAUGUAGUGCCAGGUGUUACCAAAAAUAUGAAGCUUACAUCACUUAAAAAAAGAUUACAUUUAAAGACCCAAUUGGAAAGAUCUACACCAUUAGGAUACAAUAACUGCAACUGCAGGAUAAAGAAGCCCUCCAGCAAGCUCAAGAGGAUCCCAUUGACAGCUUUAGACAAACAGAACAAGGGGAAAAAGAAGACAUCCUUAAACCAGCGCUUAGAUAAAUAACAACAUUUCAACUGAAAUCUUAUAACAUACUUUUUUUAUCAGCCAUCUCUCAUCAUUCUUAAACCAAUGGACUAAGCCUAUGAAGGAAUAUCAGUUUUUAUUUUCUUGCUUUUGAUAUUGAAAACCCAACCAAGAGAUAAAUAUGACAUGCUAAUUAGCAAUCAGGCAAUACAGAUGAGUCUCAAAUAAAUGCAAGAGAAAAAUGCUUCAUUAAAUUUACAACUCUAUCAUAUGAGAUCCAAAGGGAGUAACAGACAAGACAUUUGACCACUGAAAUAUGUCUUGAUGAAUGGUACUAGGAAAAACUUCUAGGAUGAGCCCUUCUCAAAGAGGUACACUUUCAUUGGGAACACAGUGUACCCCAAUUUUACAGCGAACUUCAAUUCCUCGCUAAAGUAAACCCCUACAAACAUACCAAUCGGGAAGAUCAGACUAGACAUUUUUGAAGUCGGAAGCAGGUCAGAAUUCCAGCUUCCUCUAUUUAGUUAGGAAAGCGAGAAGUCAUGAUAUUUAGUUAACACACACUGACAACUGAGUGUGGCAUCCAACGCAAUGAAACCAUCAGUUAAUGACGUGUUCGUUGCCAAGGUAGAUCUUUUUCUUUGCCUUACAAGAUAUUGCGUAUAAAGAGAAACACAAUCAGUUCUCCUGGGCGGCCGAGAGUGUUAUGUAAAAAGGACCAAGGAGGAUCCUAUCCUAAAGGAGGAGGAAUGUAAUUAAUAAUCCAGAGGGAAUCCUGAUAUUGAGUGAACCUCAAUGAUAUGCCAGCCUGGAGUUAGUUCUUCCUGUGGACAGCUCUUUUUUAAAACCUAAUCUAGGCAUUAAUAAUAUAAAACCAUCACGCUAAAGAAAGAUAUAUGAACAAUUUCUUCCUGUGGAUAGCUCUUUUUUUAAGACCUAAUCUAGGCAUUAAUAAUAUAAAACCAUCACGCAAAAGAAAGAUAUAUGAACAAGGCAAUCAAUUCUUUGACUUUCUGUUAACAAAUUAAAAAGGGAAAGANNNNNNNNNNNNACAUUUGCUUAUAUUCUUAAAGGUCAGAAGAAAAUGAGAACAUAUAGAUAUCAUGGUAUACUUCAUUUUCUUUAUGAAAUUCCUUUAAGGCCCAAAGAAUGCAGAUACCAUUCAGGUCCAAAAUAAACAACGAAGAAACUACUUUCACCAAUCUAUUGUUCUCAAAAUUGGAUGAAACCUGAACAGAGCUCUCUAAAUGGAGCGAUGCUCCAACAUACUCUAACUCUGUCAGCAGAGUGUAAUUCCAAUCACUGCAGAAAAGAAAACCUACACACGUCACCUGCUUUUUCCUACUAUGCUCUGAUGCAACAAAACUAAGAACACAACAACGACAACAUACCAAGUGUAAUCCAACAAAUGGGGUCUGGGGAGGGUGGUGCAUACGCAGCCUUACCCCCACCUUGUGAAUAGAGAGGCUUUUUCCAAUAGACCCUCAGCAACAAAACUAAGAGCACAUUUAAUGCAAAUUCUAAAUUAAAUGGGGGUUGUGUAGAAGACAUACUUCAGCUUGAAUGUACUGAACCUCCUUGACACGGAAUUCAGCAUUUUCAUUUUUCUCCUCCUCCUCUAACAUAUCCCGGACUUGAUAAGCCCAUGUAUCUUUCAAAGUUUGGUUAUUACAGAAGGCAGUUAAAUCAAUGUCCCCAUCAGGAAGAUAAGUCUUCAAGGGUACUGAACCAAAAGUGAAAACCUGGAAGAGUAAGGUGAUCAAAAAGAUUAGCAGCAAAAAGCCGCACAUUACCAAGCCAGAACAUAAUGCCUGCAUAUUAUGUUUUCUUUCAGUAAUAACAGUAAGAGGAUGAAGUUUGUAUGGCAACUCUAAGUAAUUCUUUCUUUACCAAAGAAAGCUUACACCAAUGAAAGACCGUCAACUGCAUCACAAACACUAAUGCUGAAUUCACUUUAUGACCAUAAAAAUAAUCACUUUCCCUGGUCAAUGAGAUACAACUAUGUUCAUCAUGCUAUACCCUGUCAAUCAUUCAUGAUGACUCCGUGUUUUAUUGAUUGCAUUGCUAAAUUUUUAACCACUCCAAACCAGCAGUCCACUUAGCACUUCUUUUCAACCACCUCCACUACAUACAUUUCCAUUUCCGAUGGUAUAAUUUGCUAAGAAAAGCAGACUAAUUCACUCUAUAAUUUGAACAACAUAUUAAUUCAUUUCAAAAGUUAACAUAAAUUUAUUGUGGCCAUAGUUUCAACCAGUGUACACCAAUGCGCGAAAGUCAUUGAGAAUUCAUUUUUACAUUAUCACAAUAGAGCAGCCAAACAAUGCAUAUGAAACUUCUAUACAACUAUUGUUAUCAGAAUGCGGCCACACAAGCAACAAUAGGAAAUUUCAAGACAACCUGACAAGGAAAGCACUUCAUGAUGAGCCGCUGAACGUAAUCAGCAACAGCAUUUCUCCGUUCCUCAGAUGGCCGAUUAGGCUGAAUACAACCAACUAACUCAGCAAUUCUUUCCUCAGCCCGUAACCAUCUUUCCGAGUCAAGAACUCGGAUCAUUGGUUCUGCAUUGGGCACUAACCCAUUCGGCAAUAGCCCACUUGGCUCUGCCCAUCCCUCAUGUUCUCCCAUACAAUACUAACUUGUUAACCCACUAAAUAACUUAAAUUUGUUCUCUUUUUCACCUCUUAUGAAAUCCAAUAUCUAUCUAUCUGCUAAACUAACUCCACUUAAGCAAGGUAGCCAAUAAUACUACAAUUUAAAUUACAAUAAAAAAAUCCAAUAAUCAAAAAUUUAACAAGAAUCCCUAAAAGGGUAUACUUUAUAUGAAACAAAAAAAACAAUUUCCAACCCCCAAAUAAAGGAAACCCUAAAUUUUGAUAGCACUUCUUGAUCAAGAUUCAAAUGGAGAUUGGACUAAAUAAAGAAACCCCAAAAAUGAAAACUUUACGUAUAUAUAAUAAAAAUUAAAAUUAGAAAAAAUAAAACAAAAAAAACACAGAAGCUUCUUCUUGUUACUAUAUAAGAAAGAUGAUAAUUUUCAUUUCAACAAGAUUAUCAGGAUCUUGAAAAUCCAGAUAAGAAAAAUGGUAAGUAUAUUUCAAGAAAAUGGGUAAGGGAAAUGACAAGUGUGUGUUUGUGUGCGUGAGAGAGAAUCAGAAUUUCAAGAAAAAUGGAGGAAUUGGCAUUGACGUAUUUGAAGAUGGUAAGGGGAUUUUUUCUUUUUGUGUAUGUAUAUGUUGUUUGUUCUGGAAAAAUAAUUGGUGAAAAGAAGACAUGUUUUUUUUUCCUUUUUUACUUUUUUUGUAUUCUGUGGUUUUUUCCCUCAAGACUUUCAAUCUCCAACUGAAAUGAAAUGGGGAUGUGAAUAUUUUGGCUAAUGAUAAAGUAAUAAUUAAAUUACCAAAAAAGGAUUAUGUAUAUCUAAUUAACUUAUCCGAAAAUAUAAGGUAACUUAAAUUAUAUAAUUUUUAAAUACAAAAAUUUUAUUUUUUAAAAAUUUAUGUUCAAAUUUGCAUACAAAUAUUAAAUGGUUAUUUUGACUCUCUUAUUCCAAAUUAAGUCAAGGAAUUAAAAAUAGAAUGCGUAACUAAAUUUCAAAUAACCACUAGAAUCAUUGAUAUACUGUUUUUAGUGUGUGUAUAUUCAAUUAAAUUCCAUUUAUUUAUUGCGAAGAAAAUUUUCCAGAUUUGUCUAUACACUUUUAGGCCAUCAAAUCUGCAGGUGCCGUUUGUUGAGUUUUUGUGCCCUAACCUAGAGCAGUAAACUAGCCGGUGAUUUUUUGUUUUUUCACCUUCAUUAAAAAAACGGAAAAGAUAAAAAGUAUAACGGUACAAAUAUACUUUUGUCAUAUUUUGAAUACAAAUAUAUUCUUAUCGUUAAUAAAAAAAUAUAAAUAUACCUUCAAAUUUUAAUAAAUAGUACAAAUAUACCCUCAUCAUACUUUGAAUACAAAUAUAUUUUUACCAUUAAAGAAAACGUACAAAUAUACCCUUCUCAUUAACGACGGGACACGUGUCAGUAUCGUAUUGGUUGGCCUUUUUUAAAUUUAUCUUAUCUAUGAAUAAUUUAAUCUAUCAUAAAUUAUAAUUCAUACCUGAUCCAAAUAACUCGACCUGACCAGUGUAAUAGAGAAGCUUCAAGAGACAUAUUACGUGUCUCUAUUCACGCGUGUUUCUUUUUUCCAUCUCUCACACUCACACUCUCUCACUAACCCAAAAAAUCCUAACAAAUGCAUCAGUUCGAUUCAUAUUUCGAUCCAUCUACCAUCUAGAAUCGAGUAGAUAUUUGUUUGAUAUUGUGAUGUUGUUUAAUGUUUUGAUGUUAGAUUAAUAUUCUGAUGUUGUUUAAUGUUCCUCAUGAAUGACUGUUGAUUGUUUUUUUUUUAAUUCAUGAGUGUCUGUGAAUCAAAAAUUAUUUCUAAUUCAUGGUUAUCUUUACCUGCUUUAAAUUCAUUGUUACACUAUUGUUCACCAACUUCAAAGAGUGAACAAGAAGACAACAUUUUAAGAACAAAAACAUGAGAAAAACUUACAAGUUUGGACAUUCCUCAGUCAAACCAAGGUCCUCAUUGUAUCACAGGUCGGAUCAGGUUAUUUGGACAGGAUAUGAAUUAUAAUUUAGGAUGGAUGCAAUUAUUCACAGGUAAAAUAAAUUUAAAAAGGUCAAUCAAUAUAAUGCUGACAUGUGUCCCGCCGUUAAUGAGAAGGGUAUAUUUAUACCUUUUCGUUAACGACAAGGGUAUAUUUAUACCCAAAGUAUAAUGUAGGGUAUAUUUGUACCAUUUCUUAAAGUUUAGGGGUAUAUUUGUACUUUUCAUUAACUGCAAAGGUAUAUCUGUACCCAAAAUAUGAUGUAUGAUAUAUUUAUAUCAUUUAUUAAAGUUCAGAGGUAUAUUUGUACCUUUUUUGAUUUAAAAAAUGAAAUACUAAUCUUUUUAUAGAAUAAGUAUAUUUUUGUUCAUCUAUACUUAAAAUAUUUUUAAAUUUUUCAUGUUUAUUUAUCUCUCAACGUCUAUUUUUUUUAAUUAUUUUUUCUUAUUUUAAUUCAUUUAUCUCAAUCUUUUUAUUAUUAUUAUUAUUUUCAUUUUUUUCUCAAAUAUUAUUUAUUUUUCAUUUCUCUUUUUUUCUCUAAUUCAUUUCUCUCAACCUUUAUUUUUUAUUAUUAUCAUUUCUUUUCUUUUUUUCAAACUUUAUUUUUUUCCUUCUCAUUUUCAUUUUUCUCAAUAUUUAUUUUUUUAUUCUUCUUUUUUAAUUUCUUUUUUCUUAACCUUACUUUGUUCCUUUUUAUUUCUCAAUCUUUUUUUUCCUUUUCUCUUUUUUUUCUUUUCUUCUCAAUUUUUAUUAUUUAUUGUUAAGAAAAUUGGAUAAUCCGCAAAGGUUCUUCUCUCUUUGAUGUCGAAGUAAAUUUAAAGGUGUAACUUAUUGUUUGGAAGUCCUUUUGGAUAAGUCUUGUCUUUAAGGCAGAAGUUAUAGAAAUAUCAAAAAUCAAAACGCAAUGUGGUAGUGUCAAAUCUUGUUUGUGAGCAAAGCUUGUUGUUUGAAAAUCCAUGAAUUAAGUCUUGUCUUUAGGGCAAGAGUUAUAGAACAUCUCAUUAAUCAAGACACAGUGUAGUAGUGUGACUUGCCAAUGGAUCUUAACUUAUUUUUUGGGGAGGUUCUUGAGCUAAGACUUGUUUUAGUGGCAAGACUAAUAGAGCAUCCAUAAACCAAGACACAAUGUAAUAGUGUCAAUUCUUGCCCAUGGGGCGUAACUUGUUGUAUGAAAGUUCCCGGGCUAAGUUUUGCCUCUAAGAGAAGAUUUAUAGAACGUCUCAUAAAUCAAAACACAAUGUGGUAGUGUCAACUCUUGCCCAUAGAGCGUAACUUGUUGUUUGAAAGUCCUUGGACUAAGUCAUGCCUCUAAGGUAAGAGUUAUAGAACAUCUCGUGAAUCAAGACAUAAUGAAAUAGUGUCAACUCUUACCAUGAGACAUAACUUGAUGUUUGAAAGUUCUUGAUUUAUAGAACAUCUCAUAAAUCAAGACACAAUAUGGUAGUGUCAACUCUUGCUCAUAAGGCAUAACUUAUUAUUUAAAAGUCUUUAGUUAAGUAUGGUCUCUAAGACAAGAGUUAUAGAACAUCUUAUAAAUCAAAACUCUUACCUAUAGGGCGUAACUAUAUAAGAUGCGCAUAAAAAUUGUAUCAUUUUUGUAUGAAAAAUGUAUAUCUAUCAUUGACUUUUUAAAAAAAAUUAAAAUUCUACUCUACAAUUAUUGUUCUUUUAGUCUGUGAUGCCUUUUUUUUUUCUAAAAAAAGGUUGAAAAUAUGUAUUGAUUUCUUUUUUCUUUUUAGUGGUUUUUGGAAAAAUAUUAUUUUAAUAUUUAAUUGAUAAGAAAGAGCAACAAUCAAAGAGUAGAUUUUUUUUUUUGGUUAAAAAAAGGAGUCACAAAGAAAAGGCAUAAAAAGAUGCAGUUAAAGAAGUUUGGAAGAAAAAUAGUAGCUUAAACAUAGGAAAAAAAACUUAUUACCCAAAAAAAAAAAGGAAAAAAAAAUAAUUCUCUUUCUCUUAUAUAAUAAGAGACAGUUGAGGAGCUUCCUGUCGUCUCCCUUGCGGACAUUCACCUGCUUACUUCGUAAUUUUACUAUAUCACUCCUAAUUAAUUAUUAUAAGUCGUUUAAAUAUUAAAAGUUAAUAAUUGUAGACACGUAAUUUUUUACCCUUCCGUAGCUUUUAUCUUUUUUUAGUACAAAAAUUUAUUUUUUGUCUAAUGUUUAUUUUAACUUUGAUUUUUAUUUUUAUAGGUUUUAUUUGAAAAAUAAAUAAAUAAAAUCACAUUUUGGAAAUUUUUUUUAUUGUUUUUAGAAUAAUACGAAAAAUGUUAAAAAUGUAUUUUUCUUUUAAUUUUAAUAAAUAGGAUAGUAGUUUUAGUAUUAUCUUAAUUAUAUUAUUUUAGGCUAUUUAUAAUUUUUCGUUGUAUUUUUCUUAAAUAUGAAAAUUAAUUAGCAAAUCUACUUUUAUUAUUAUUAUUAUUUUUAUUUUUAUUAUUUUAUAUAUUUUAAAUUUUAAAAAAAAAAGAAUCCUUAUCCACUCCCAACCUCCCUAUCUAUCUACAACCCACUCUCCCUCAACUGCCCCCACAUCCCUCUUUUAAGGGGUAACUUCUCAAACUCCCCGAAAUACGUACAUCAUACAGAGAGAAAGAAAAUAUUAUCACACUAACAUAGAGUAGAAAAAGGAACAAACAGAAAAACACUGACAGAGAGAGAAAAAAAAACAUACAUUAAAAGAGAGAUAUCAGAAGGAAAAAAGGGCAGAGAGAAGAAAAAAGCAGUAGAAGUAAGAAGGAGAAAAAAAAAGUAAAGAGGGACGACUUGAGUUUUAAAUUGAGUUUCGUAUUUUCGUUCGCGUUUUCGAUAAUAGCGUUUUGUUCUUGUAGUCAAGUAAAAUUGUCACACAGGUUCUUAUUUGAUUCUGUGCUUUUUAUUUUACGAAGUUUGUUGCAAAUUACAUCAUAAAUAAAGUCAUUUAGUGAUUUUCUUAGAUUAUUAAGUAUGUGUGAUUGUUGUAGUGCCAUGUUUAUUUGUAUGACUAUUCAAAUUAAUGUUUGUCGGUUGUUGAUUAUUCAUUAAACCUGAUUCCAAAUGUUGAGAUAUUCCUCUAGAGUAUAAGAUGACUUGGUUUCAAAGAACAUAAAAUAGAAGAGAAAGAGGAAAAGGAAAAAUAGUCACACACAAAAUACACUGCAUACACCAUUUACACAAGCUUACAGAAUUCAUCUUCUCCAUUCACUCAAUAGACACACCUCACCCAAAAAUUCAUGCACAUAGAAUAAAAUUAUUGACGGAAAGCCAGUAAAGAAAAAUCUGAUAAGAAGAGACAAAGUUAGAGAGAGAGAGAGAUUGAGAGAAAUAAAUAGGAAGAGAAAAAUAAGGUUUAGGGCCCAGAUUUUCUGGCGACAUAGCAGCAAAACAUCAUCGAAAAACGAUCGAAAAACACCCUCUAGUUAAUCCUUUGUAAAUGUUCCAGCGAAAUCGUCACCAAAAUUUUGCUAAAAGCGUCGACCAGUUUGAAAUUGGUAGAGACUUAAAAUCAAUAACCGAAAUCGACCUUCCAUCGAUAUACAUCAGAAAAUCAUCAAAUCCGACCCUAUGGUAGACUCCGGAGAUAACACACCAGAAAAUCGCCAAGGCGCAGUCCAACCGACCCUUUUUCGAUGAAUGUCCACUGAAAUACCCCUUUUUUCAGCCGACCAACCCACCGCCGGUUUUGACUCGAAACCUCUUUACCACUAGCGAAACUCACCGGUAAUCCACCUAUCCUGUCCCUUUUUUUCGUCACCAGGACCGGCGAUGCCGGCUACCAAUAAUAACUUCAGCACUGUCCCCUCUCCCCUCUAUUCACUGGCCACCAAAACCAGUGGGACAACGACCCCUAACCCCCCUACCCCCUUUCUCUCUUCAUUGGCCACCGAUGGUAAGUCUACGACAGUGAAUUUUUGUGUUGGUGUGAAAUUUAUCUUGUAAGAAUUGGCACCACCAUUUAGGGAGAUUCUUGAAAAGGGUGUUGAUGAAAACUUGUGAUUUGGGAGAAGGGGAUGAUUUCUUAACCCCAAAAGCAAUUGCCAAUCGAAGAAAAACAAAGGGUUUCGAGUUUUGCAAUUUCUGUUUUAGUUUGCUCAGUAUUUUGGCAGAUUUUUGUUCAGAUAAAUUAUGAGAGCCUCGUGUUUGUGGAUCUCCUAGUGCUUCGGGGUUUGCAGUAAUUUAAAGAAAAUGAUUUUGGAAGAUCAUAAUAAAAUUAGUAUAAUAUGAUUAAUUUUUUUUAUGUAUUUGUAUUAUUUUAUUAUUAUUUUAUUUUAUUUCUAUUUUAUUAUCAUUAAUAAAUCUUGAUAAUUGUUUUGUUAAAUUAAUUAAUCGCUUUAAAUGAAUUUUGUUCAAGUUAAUGUUAAAGUAAGGUGAAAUUUCGAGUAGGCAAGCUUUUGAACGUUAGGCAAAUAUAGGAUAAAUAAAUCUUGUCUCGAUUAAGAAUGCGGCGUACGCAUCUUUUUGAUAUAUUUUAAAAAUAAUUCAAGGAUGCAAUAGUGCACCUUGGCAAAUAUUUUAAAAAAAUAAUUUUCCACCAAUUUAAUACAAGGGUUAAAAAUAAUUUUAGUAUAAUAAAAGUGAGCGAACCUAGGCCUUAAAAUAACAGUGUAAGUCAAGAUAAGUCAAUAAAAGAGACCGUGCUAGAACCAUGACACUCGAGGGGUGCCUCAUAUCUUCCCCCCGGUCAAUAGAAUUUCUUAUCCGGUCUUCUGUUUUUGCAGACCAUAAUAAAGAAUUUUUUUUAUUUGAUUAGGGAUUCCAAAAGGUGACUUGGAAAACCAUAACUCAAUUCCAAGUGGCGACUCUGAAAAUAAAUAAUAUAAUCUCUAUUUCAAAACUAUCACUUUAAUUGAGAAAACCCUUCGAGCCUCUGGGCAAAAAAGGGGUGUGACAUCUCCGAUGAUUCUGCUAGGGAACGAACCAGAAUUCGAACUUUGGAUAUUGACUUUUACUUGCUUUAGUUAUUGUUUAUAUUGUGUUUGUUGGACUAAUGUGCUACUUGUCUCUCAUUUAUUGCUUUGAUAUUGUUGAACUGUAUUAUAAAUUAUCUUUUCUCACGCACCUGUCUGAGUCUAUGAAAAUAUGAUAGAAGGAAUACAUAGUAUGCAUCCUAUCUUCUUUUUGAGAUAGCUGGAGUGUCAAGGCACCUGGUGAAAUAUUAUUAGUCACACAUGUUAGGCGGGGUUUGGAUCCACAAUGAGGGUAGAGUAGCACUGCUACCGAACAAGUUGUCUAUUCCCAACUUGAGUGUCCGCUCAAGUAAGCCAGUCUAGACACAUAUCUCUAUUAAGCUAAACUUAGUAGAACUGAAACUCAGAAUCUAGUUAUCCCUAUUAGGUUUCUCUUUAUUUACAUCAUGUGCAUUUUACUUAGCGAGACUCGGCACAGGGGUCAGGUCUGUCUAAGACAGGUGUCCCUUUUUAUAAUGACCAACAUGUGCAUCCUACGUUCUCUUUGACAUUUAUUUGGAAGGUCAUUUGAUUGUUGAACGACUUUAAGCAACUUGGUAAAACGCAAGAGAGUAUUUUAUCCUCAAAUUUAACAAAUCAUUUUUCAAAGAAAUUAAAAAAUUCAUAUACUUUUUAAGGUCUUCAUGAACUCCGAGGGUAUGAUUCUCACUCUUUAGUGAGAUACAUAGGAAAUCCUUCCCAGGAUAUGACCAUGUCUUUUAAAAAUUAUUCACAAAUUUAUUUAGGGAUAUUUUUGAAAAAAAAAAUGAAUGAAAAAAUGACUAUUUUCAUUAGUAUUAUUAUUUUAUCUUAGUUUUCUCCUUUUUUUUUCUUAUUCUCAAAUUUAAUUUUAAUACAUAUCUUAAUAGCCCUGAACCUUUAGGGGUCGUGAGCUAAGUUUUGAUAAAUUAAUAAAACAUGUAAAUACAUAGUUUAAUAGUCCUGAACCUUUAGGGGUUGUGAGGAUGAGUUUUUCACAACAUCGUAUACAAAAUAAUUAUUUUCUUUUCGUUUCUUUCCUUCUCUCUAAGUUGUUAUUAUUUUUAUUUUUCUAGUGUAUUUAGUUGUAUUUUCUCUCAAACUCAUAGUUGAAAUUGUAUACGGGUCUGUCAUUUCAAAAUUUUCAGUAGAGUUGGUCUAAAAAGUGUCACCCCUUAAAAGAAAUGUUGAAGUUCAUAUUUCUCUCACUUCUUAUUUUGAAUAAAAUUAUUUUUGAAUCUGAGUCAAAUUUAAUAGUUGGAUUAACUCUCACGAGUCAAACUAAAAAGUUCAAAAAUAGUGAAUUAAGUUCUGCCUAGAUUCUAGACAUUUCCUAAUCUUGUGUCUCUAUCUGUAGGUAUAACAUGUCUCCUCCAAUUGAUGGAAAGUGUCAAAAAAGAAAAAGAAAUAGGAAUAUACCACUAUAGGCUGUAGACUGUACCCCUUGGAAACUCUGGACAUGGUGGAACAAGAUGGAUUCAUUUGAUCAUGGUGAUAUAUAUAAGUAUUUGGGUUAUUUGACAUGCAUCAUGACAAUCAACCCUAGCAGGAAGGUGGUUGAUGUACUGCUGACUUUCUGGGAUCCGAUGAACAAUGUAUUUCGUUUCUCGAAUUUUGAGUUGACUCCGACUUUAAAGGAGAUAGUGGCUUCUAUUGGAUUUAGGGAUAUGCAUUGAAAAAGAAUUAUAGCCUCGAGACUCAUCUCGAUAAAUAGAUUCUGUAAGCUUAUGAACAUACGGAACUCAAAAAAAGAAUCAAUGGAAAAAGGUUGGGUCUCCUUACAGUUUUUGUAUGAAAUAUAUGAAAGACAAGAGGGGUUUGAGCAGCUCGGUAAACAACUCUACAACAAAAGAAGUUUUGAAGCCUGGAAAGUGCAUGGACGAUUUGCUUUCAUGGUAGUAUUUUUAGGAACUAUGGUAUUCCCUAGGAGAGAGAGAAAAAAUAAUAUUCACUUAGUUGGAGUGGUACAUGUAUUGAUCAAGAAAAAGGAUUACACUAUGGUACCAAUGAUCUUGGCUGACAUAUACCGUGCUUUAACUGUUUGUCAGAAAGGGAAGGGCUUCUUCAAAGGAUGUAAUAUCUUGCUACAAAUGUGGAUUGUUGAGCAUCUUUAUCAACAUCCUAAGAUGUCAAGAUUUUUUCCUGAACGAGUUGAUCACAUCAAAGAUUAUGAUUUAAGGAUGGAGAAAUAUAAAUGUCCAGAAGGAGUUAGUGAUUGGGAUAAGCUUUUUCGCUCACUGAUGGCAGAUAAGAUUACUUGGAAUCUCUCUUGGUUCCUUGGUGAUAGCCUAAAUACUAUCAAAAACACAAAAAUGGUACUAGAUAGCAAAAAUCAGCAAACACACAAAAGGAAAAAACAACACACAUAGAAGAAAAGAGAUGAAGAAGAGAUGCAUAAAGUAAAGAUAGUAGAGAGACCCCCACUUCCACCAAUGAAUAGCAAUAGAAGGUGUAUCAAACCUUCAAACACACAUCACCAAUGUAAGAUCAAACCACUAUUUUAGGUGACCCAAAGAACUCACAUUUCCUCAAGCACACCUUGCUUGCCAAAUAACCCAAUACAAGUGAAAAACCAAUUCCAAAUGUAUUCAAGGUCCAAGUUUCGAUUUUUCUCUCUUAAGGAGAAGGAGAAGACUACAAUAUAACACUAAGAUUACAAUCUAAAAAGUCACUCAAUCCAUUAUGUCAAAACUAAUGAAAAUAGAAGGCUACUUGUCUAUUUAUAAUAUUACAUGACAAAUGUCAAAAAUGCCCUUAAUGGGGGAUAGGCAAAGGGUGCCUCUUGAGUGUUGAAAUAUAAGGUAUAAAGUCAAAUUUUCCCUUCACUUGAGGCGCCUCUUGAGUGAAACAACCCCUUCUCCUUUCUCCUCAAAUUUAGAUCUUUCAAAACCCAAGAGAGAGAAAAACAAACACACAAUCCUCUUGGUAGGAGGGUUAGCAUUAACAACACAAUUAUAUCAUUACUCCAAGGUGGUUCACACUUAACAUGCAUCUAUGUAUCCUUGGUAUUUGGAAUGAAAAGCUUGGCAUAAAGGAUACAAAUGAAUUGAAUGGCAUCGACAUCAAAAGUAAUUGAGCAUGACCCAAAACUACAACUUUCACAUCUCAAAAGUAUUUCGGGGUCAAAGGGAAAUAGUAAGCAAGGGUCUAGGUCGUGGUUAAACAUCCCUUGCACUAGAUUAUCAUGCCAAGGGGGUACAUAGUUGACAUACAACUAGAAAUCCCUUGUUUUGUCCAUGAAACAAUUAGUAUAUGCAUCACAAAGGAUAGGUCUAAGGUAAAUAUCAAGGGAAAAAAAGCACAAUCCAAAACAAUCCCUUCCCCACCCCACUAGUACACCGGGAUCAAAUGGGUAAAGUGGCUAAGGGAAUAAUCCGUAGCUACUCAUUCCAUUUAUUAGGGUAUCACACUCACCCAAAGCAUUUGUUCUUAAGGGAAGACUAACACACAAGGAUAAGGACCUACGGCUUAGUAGGCCUCCCUUAACAAUAUACAUUUCAUCAUCCGCAAUCUCUACAUACACCUGAUCACCAAAAACACAAUUAAUAGCAAGGUUCUCACCACACAAAAAGUUCAAGGGACCAUAUUUAUUAUCAUGAUCAACAUUAUAAACAUCAAUACUAACUUGAGGUUUUUCAAUCCCAUAAUUCCCAUAUUCAAGUAGUAAACUAGUUUUAAGAGCAAGUUGAUCAUUAUUCACAACAAAAGAGUUACUAAGGAACGAGGUGUGCACUUGCAAACCCAAAACCACAUCACUAGACACUAAAUCACAAUAUUUUGAGUUCAAAGAAGUGUUGAGUGUAGCAAAGUCACCUUAGGUAAGGCUUGGGAAGUCCGCUUUUUUGGAGCUCUCGGUCAAGGGAGUCUCUAGUUUAAUUCUCAUGCUUUCAUGUGGAACUUCUUUUGGAUCCUUUUUGGUUAUCAUAGCAUCUUGUACCUGCACAUAAUAAGAAUCAAUGCUAGGCAAAGUGCUAGCAUUCGGGUUAGUGGAUAACAAGGGUUCUUUGGGAACAAAAUCCACAAUCAAGUGUUCUUUUUUUCUUUUAAUUUCACUACCCGUGGCUUCUCUUUCCUUUCCUCUCCUUUCUUCACAUCCUCAUUGUACCUCACUAUUCAUUUUCUCUCAAUUUUGAGGCUUAUCCUCACUCUCCUUGGGCUUUAACUUUCCCUCAUAUUCUACUUGGAUGGAGGGGUCUCGGUUUAGUGUAAUUUGGAGAAGAGGUAUCGAUUUUGGUUGAGGAUGGAUUUAGGUUGGUGGCUUCGUAUUUGGGGAAGUGUAGAAUCUUUGGUUUUGAGGGAUUUGAACUUGUGGUGGUUUUGGUGGACAUAGUCUAUCAAUCCCCGCUUUCAUUUUAAUCAUGUCACCCCUCAUAUCAUCCAUAUCACCCUUCAUAGCAUCAUGAUUAUCCUCUAUUUUUGGGGAAAAGGCCUCAAACCGAGCCAUCAAGGCUCCUAUAGCAUCAUUUCCCAAAGGUUGGAAAGUAGUCCCUUCGGAUUCCAUGGCAAUGUUACCUAACAAAAGCCAAAAAACAUCAAAGAAAAACCUACAAAACGAACAAACAAGUUAGUUCAAAAGCCUCAACCUCACCUCACGCUUAGCUUCACAAGUGUUGGAUAAUUGGCAACACUUGGCAAGUUACUUGAGUGGUGAGAAAUUUUGGUCCAAAAUCGAUCUUUGUUUAAAAUGACUCAAAUAAAGUGAUGUACGAACUUGAACCAACAAAACACUACGAAUAAAAAAUGAGAAAAGGCACACAAAUUGAAGACACGAAAUAAAUGGACCCAAGACCAAUUAUCAACCUAGUAGGUAGUUACUAGUUUGUUAAUUAGUAAUAGAGUUUAACACACAAGAAUCUAGAAUCAAAAAGAAGAAACUAAGAAAUCUAUUUUAGAGCUUAAUUGGGUUGAUCAACUAGUGAUGAUGUGGCACAAUGUGGUUGGUUAUCAAUUUGCAAAUUUUUUUUGACAUUCCAAUUUUGAGUUUCGGCCAAAGAUCCACUUAGGAGAGUGUUUUGCAUGAAAUUUGGGAGAAAAUGGUGGGUUGGAGCCUUUUUCUCAAGUUCAAAUGGAUUUGAGUUCAAUGGUUCCCCCCUACUUGUACUUUCAAUUGUACUUUGUUGUCCCCUUGUCCCGUCUUCUUUUUGGAAGACUUGAAUAUUCUUGGAAUAUGAUUUUGGACAAACAACUUUUUCACUCUCCCUCUUUAUUUUUGUGGAUCUAACACUCUUUUUGAAUAUUCUUCUUCAACAAUACAUGAAGAUGGUGAAGAACAAUAUGAAUAUUCAAGAGUUGACCGAAGUUUGACUAUAAGGCAAAUGAACCCAAACUUUAAUUUUUCUUUUAGAUCUAGGUUCCUUGGGUCAAGGCAAGCUCAAAUAUCUACAAACCAUCCACAACACUCCACAAAAAGAUGUUCACCAUGAUAUCCACCUAAAAAAGCUUCAAACAAGGCACAACAAUGGUGGAUCUAACUUAAAUUCAACCAAACCUUGCUCCAAACUUAGAUCUAGACUCCCUAUAUGCUAGAGAGAAAGGAUCUAGCACUAGAAACCUUCAAAACACAAUAAAAACUUGUAGAUCUAACUUGAAAAUUUUGGAUCUACAACAAACACACAAGACAACACCCUUUUUUUUGUAUUUUCGGAUUUUUUAUUCUUUUUUGUUGAGAUUUUCUUAAUAAUAACACUAAAACCAAGAUUUAGGGAUGUUGGAACAACCCAAAACAAGGCUCUGAUACCAAAUGAUAGCCUAAAGACUAUCAAAAACACGAAAAUAGUACUAGAUAGCAAAAAUCAGCAAACACAUAAAAGGAAAAACAACACACAUAGCAGAAAAGAGAUGAGAAGAGAUGCAUAAAGUAAAGAUAGUAGAGAGACCCUCACUUCCACCAAUGAAUAGCACUAGAAGGUGUAUCAAACCUUCAAACACACAUCACCAAUAUAAUAUCAAACCACUCUCUUAGGUGACCCAAAGGACUCACACUUCCUCAAGCACACCUUUAUUGCCAAAUAACCCAAUACAAGUGAAAAACCAAUUCCAAAUGUAUUCAAGGUCCAAGUUUUGAUUUUCCUCUCUUAAGGAGAAGGAGAAGACUACAAUCUAACACUAAGAUUACAAUCUAAAAAGUCACUCAAUUCAUUAUAUCAAAACUAAUGAAAAUAGAAGGCUACUUGUCUAUUUAUACUAUUACAUAACAAAUGUCAAAAAUGCCCUUAAUGAGGGAUAGGCAAAGGGUGCCUUUUGAGUGUUGAAAUAUAGGGUAUAAAGUCAACUUUGCCCUUCACUUGAGGCACCUCUUGAGUGUAACAACCUCUCUUCCUUUCUCCUCUUGACCAAGGCUUCAAAAUGCUCCAAAAGGGUCUUUAAUUGCUUGCCAAUUCCGAAGCUUGAACCUUGGACAAUGUCUUGUGCUCUUGUAGCUACUUGUGCUUGUUUCACUUGGAGGCAGAUCAUACAUAGUUUUAUUGUUCGGACUUUCUUGUUAUUGAUGGUUAUUAGGGGUGUUCAACCAUAUAUGCCAUUGAGAGUUUUACAUCAACUAGGCAGACGUCAAAUAAUUCCCAUAACAGAAAAUAUGAAAGAGUUUGUGUUUGAAGUCAGAUUAGAGAUUCCCCUUCUAGAGGGAUUGGCACAAUAAAGUUGGGAUGGUUAUUGUAUUAUGGGGAUUAAAAUAAUGGUCAUAAAAUAUGAGAAAUGAGAAGUAUACCCAGACUACUAUGAAUAGUUUGAGAAACAACCACCUCCACCAGUCAGACCAGAAAGAUCGAUUAAGGGACCCAUAGAUCAAGAGACUGCAAUAAGGAUAGGGAUUGAGAUGGAUAUAUGAUAACAUAAUGAUGUCAAUCAAGCUUUGAGAGCGGAGUUGGAGUGCGCUAUGACAACUUUGACUAAACUACAAGCAGAUAAAGAUGCAAAAAAUAAGGCAAAAGUUAAGCAAGCAUGAUUGGAGGUAGAGAGAAAUUAUUAGUCCACUAUUCAGGUGCUAAAUGCUGAUUUAGAAUGAGCUAGGGAAAGAAUAGAAGAAUAACAGAGGGAAUUUGAUGAGGAAAAAGCUAAGUCGGCAAACAUUGAGGUUGCACUUCGAGGACAAAUUAAGUUGGUCACAACUAGGGACUGGUCGCAUCUCACCGCCAACAGUUAUAAUAAUUUGAAAUAAAGAAGCAAGAAGAAUUUAAUCAAGAUAGAUCUUAGUGGAUACAUUAAAGAGGGAUACUACGAGUACAACUUGAGGUAGCUUCUGCUCGAGAGCAAUGUGCAAAAGAGAUAAUUGACUCUCGUGAUCAACUGGCCCAAGAAUGGGAUCAGGACUUUAGUUUUCUUCGAGGGAAGGUCCAUCAUGUGGCAUAGGAUACCGCUAGAAUGGAUUUGGACUACCAAUAGUUGAAUCGAGGACAAUUUCUAGUACAAGUGCCAGCUUUUGGCCAAUGUCUUACCACUUUAUUGGAAGACAUAUACUUGGGUUUGGGAGGUCAUAUAAAUCCAAAAUCUCCUUGAUUAAGCAUGUUUAAGUUAUGAGGAUCAGUUGAAGACCUUGAGACAACGGAGUUUAGUUGUAUGGAUGGAUAGUAUUUUCUUUUGUUGCAGUCUUUCAGUUUCAGUUUUAGAACUUCUUAUCUAGAUUUUUGUCUUUUAUUUAAUCUUAUUUGUUUAAAUUUAGUUUUGUUUGUCAGAUGUCAGUUGGUAGGUUUUCUUUUAGGAGUUGUGUCACUUGUUCUGUCGUAAUUGUAUUAGGAAAUAAUGGAAUGUAGUGAAGUUGGCCGUUUAGUUCUAUAUAUAUUACAUAUGUUUUACUUCACUUUAUUUAUUUUUUUAAAACAAUCAUCAAUUAUUUUUGUUAAGUUUUCCCGAACUAUGCAAGAUCUGAUUCAUGUUCUGUCAUGAUACUUAGGCAACCCUCCAAAGGGUUUGAUAAAAACUUUUCAAAAAGUGUGCCUAGAAAAGCUGGGAUAAAACACAAGGCCUUCAAUAAUAGGCUGGGAAAUGCAUAUAGAGACAGAACAUACAACGUGUCAUUAUAAUAUGUUAAAUAUGUAAUACUUACCUGUUUGCUACUUGAUUUAGAGAAAAGAUAAAGUAGUUCGUGAUUGGUUUAUAGUUUAAACUGGCAUCUCAUCCGUACAACACAAGAUACAAAGAAAAUAGGAAGAUGACCUACAAAAAGGUUGUAGAGUCUGACAGUAAGGAAAAUCAAAAUAUGUUGAUUUCACAGGAGUUUGCAUCCAUGAAGAAGAAUAAGUUAUUGAAACAAUAAAUAGUGGAGAUGUAUCAAGCUUGGAUGAAUAGACAAGCCCCAUCUUCCUCAAUUCCUGAACUUUCGAAUAUGAAUAAUCCAAAUCCCGCUCAAGCCCAAACUGCGAUCCAUUUUAUCCACCUAGAUUUGGCCCAUAUGCUAAUAUAUUUGGCGCUCCUAGUAAUUCUAUGAUGUGCCUACCAAAUCUAUCUAUCAUAAAUAUCCUACUUUUAACACCCGUAGCAUCAGCUAAUGCGGGUCCUCAAUCGAUAUUAUGGAAGACUAUGGGUAAACCAAGUCAUGAUCAAUUAUAUCUUCCUGAAGUGACUUUCAAACCCUCAAAUUCAUAUUACCCCACUCAUCAACAUAGUUCUUCUAUUAUGAUUAAAAAGACUGUUAAGAAUGAGGAACAAAAAGAAAUGGCGAGGAAGGUGAGAAGUUUGGAGCAGAAUAUGAAGAAUAUGCAAGGAAUAAGAGGACAAAAAGUUUUCAUACAAACAUUUAUGUAUGUUCCCUGAUGUCCACUUACUGCUAAGAUUAAACUCCUAAGUUUGACAAAUACGAAGGCCAUGGCUAUCUCGUGGCUCAUUUGAAAAGGUUAUGUAAUCAAUUGAGGGGAGAAGGGGAAAAGAAGAACUGUUGAUGGCUACUUUGGAAAAAGUCUGACAGGGAUAACUUCAGAAUAGUUCAUCGACCAAGAUACUUAACUUCAGAAUAGUCAUCGACCAAGAUACUUCUCAUUGGCACAUUUGGGAUGACAUGGCUCCAAAUUUUGUUCAGUAAUUUUAAUAUGAUAUUGGCAUAGUGCCAGAUCGCACCACACUUGCCAACAUAGGAAAAAAGACAAUUGAAACUCUUCGAGAAUAUGCUGUUAGAUGGAGGAAGUAAGUUGCAAGAGUCAGGCUAUCAAUAAAGGAGUCUGAGAUGAUUGAUAUUUUUCUACAGGCGCAGGAGCCUGAUUAUUUUUAUCAUUUGUUUUCUACUAUUUGAAGUACAUUUGCUGAGGUCAUUAAGGUCGGAGAAAUGGUAGAAAAUGGAAUUAGGUCUUGAAAAAUCAUAAGUUAAGCUGCUUGGAAAGCAACAACACAGGCAAUUCAAAAUAGUUUAAAAAGUUUUGGUUGGAAGAAAAGAAAGAAGGAUGUAGCUACUGUUGUGCCAAGUCCAUGACAAGAUUUGAGAGGUGCACAUCAACCAUACGCACAAUCUCAAUCUCAGAUUUAUGUCUAAUAUCCAUAUAAUCAUCCACGAUACUAUGCUCCUCCCAAAAAUCUAUUAUAUUAUAUUCCAUCCCCUUAGUAUCCUAUCUAUAAUGCACAACCAUAUGCUCGAACUCCUUCUUACCCGCAAUGGCGUGCUCCAACCAUUUAGAAUCAUCCUACUAUCCCCCAAGUCCAACAAGCUCCCCCUAAAUUAAAUUUUCAGCCCAGAGCAGAUUAAAAGAAGGCUGAUAUAUGCAAAGAUAAUUUCUCUAUCUUAUGCCAGCUUAUUGCAGAGACUGAGGGACAUAAAUUUUCUAAGCCCAAUUGAGAGAAUGAUCGUGAUUCCUCCUCUGAAAAACUUAGAUUAUUCUAGAAGAUGUGCAUACUAUUUUGAUGCCCCAGGGCACGACACAGAAAAAUUUCAUACUUGAAAAGAGCAAUUCAAGAGCUGAUUGACUCAUAAUAAAUUAUGGUGCUGAGUCUAGAUGCUCCAAACAUUAAUCAGACUCUACUAUUGACUCAUACUAAAACAAAUAUGUUUGAGUUGAUACCUAGUGGCGAAGAGGCUACAAUUUUCUUUAAGCCUAUCAUUAAGAUCAAAAUUGAUAUGGAAAAGUCAGCAAAUAUUAUGGAUUUGACGAAAGCAAGACCUGCAGAAGUAGAGAAGGUAGUAACAAACCAAACCAUUGAAUACUUCUUUGGUUAUGGGGAAAGAAACUUUAGAAAGUGUUGGGUCAGGUCAGAUAAAACGAAAGCUUUUUAUUCUCGAAAGGCCCACCAAGCCUAUCUUAAUUGUAAAAGGAGAUCCCAUAACUCUAAUUAUGAUUAAAUCGGUGUCAUAACUUUCUAUGGUUAAUACUAAGACAGUCUUUUGGUACUAUAAUCCCAUUAUGGUGACAUACAAAGGGAAGAAAGUUAUUGAAGAAGUGGAUGGAGUAGGAGGAUUAACCUGUUUAGGGAGGUGUUAUGCUUCAUAAGAGUUAAAGAAGUCUAAACAAGGCAAUAAAGACUGAAUUCCAAUCAAGAAACCAGUUACCGAAGAAGAGGCUGAAGAAUUUCUAAAAAAUAUAAAAUUGUCGAAAUAUUUUGUUGUGGAAUAAUUGAGGAAGAUGCUAGCCCAAAUCUCUCUGUUUCUUUACUGAUACAUUCGAAUGAUCAUCGCAAAUCUAUAAUGAAGAUUUUGAAUGAGGCACAUGUGACCAGUGAGAUUAAGGUGACCAAUUGGAGAAAAUUGUUGGUAGAAUCUUUGAGGUAAAUAGGAUUACUUUCUUAGAUGAUGAAUUACACGCAAAAGGUACUGGACAUAAUUGAGGCCUCUAUAUUACUAUAAAGUAUAAGCAUUUCUAUGUCACUCGAGUAUUGAUUGAUGGAGUAUCUAGUGCUAAUAUGUUUCCUAUGUCAACUUUGCAAAAGUUAAAUGUUAACGUGGAGAGGAUCCGACCUAUUAAUGUAUGCGUCAGAGGAUUUGACGGAGCAAAAAAUGGAUGCCAUUAGUGAGAUAGAGCUUAUACUGACAAUAGGUCCUGUGGAGUUUGCUAUGGAUUUCCAAGUACUAAACAUCGAUGCUUCAUAUAAUAUGUUAUUGGGAAGGCCAUGGGUUCAUAGAGCUGGGGCAGUCGCAUCUACGUUACACCAAAUGGUUAUGUUUGAAAAUGAUAGACAAGAAAUAGUUAUUCAUGGUGAAGGGGAUUUGUCCAUGUAUAAAGAUUAUUUAGUUUCAUCCAUUGAGGCUGACAAUGUAGAUAGAGCACCAAUUUAUCAAAUUUUUGAGGCAGUGGAUGUUGAGCAUAUCCCCGAGGGGAAUCUCAUUGCAAAACCACAAUUGUCCUCUCCAUCUGUUAUGGUAGUGAACGAAAUGUUAAAGCAUGGUUUUGAACCAGGAAAAGGUCUAGAGAUGUCUUUACAAGUCAGGGCUCAUCCAAUCUAUCUCCAUGAGAGUUUUGGUACCUUUGGUUUGGAAUACGAGCCUACUUUUGAGGAUAUAAAAAAGGUUAAGAAGUGUAAGAAAGAUUCAUGGUCACUUACUAAGCCAAUACCUCUACUCAAUGAGUUUUUCAUCAAAGUCAGUGUUGUUGGGUCCUCUAUAUUACCUGCCGCAAAAAUCAAUGAAUGAUGAUGAUACAGAGUUGAUCGUCCUCUUUCAGAAUAUGUUAAUUGAAGCUAAUAUGGUUGAAAUUGGAAAAGGUACCAGUAAUGCAGAUUUGUAGUUUAUCGGCCCUGAUGUUCAGCUUAACAAUUGGGAGGCCACUCCUCUCCCUACUACAAAGGAGUCUUGGUAAUUUGUUUGUUUGUCUUUCUACAAUUUAAAUUAUUCUGGGGUUGUAAUUCAGAUAUUUAUCUUGUUGUUUUUCUUAAGAUUAAAACUCUUCUAUCUUUGUUUUUAAUGAAAUGUAGUUUCCCUUUAUUUUAUUUUGAGUCUAAUAUUUAUUUUCUAUUAUACAGUUCUUUCUAUGCCGAUUCUAGUGAUAUACAUGCAUGAAGAAUUGUCAACCAAACCUUAAAACUCAAUCUAAUUAUGAAAUAAUGAAUAAAAAAGAUUUCAAACAAUUUGAGAAUAAGUUAAACCCCAAUAUAGAUGAAACUGAAGCAAUCAAUCUAAGGGAUUAUGAACUUAUUAGGGAAACAAAGAUAAGUGUACAUGCUCAAUCACAACAAAAGAAAGAUAUAAUUAAAGCUUUGCUUGAUUACAAGGAUAUCUUUGCAUGGUCUUAUGGUAACAUGCAUGAUUUGAGCAUUGAUUUGGUAGUUCAUAAGUUGCCAAUUGAUCCUGCUUUCCCUCCCGUCAAGCAAAAAUUAAGAAAGCUUAAAACUGACAUGAGUGUAAAAAUCAAAGAGGAAAUCACAAAGAAAAUUGAGGCUAAAGUCAUUCGAGUGGAAUAAUAUCAUACUUGGUUAGCCAAUAUUGUCCUUGUACCCAAGAAAGAUGGCAAAGUUUGGAUGUGUGUUGAUUAUUGUGAUCUAAUAAAGCAAGUCCAAAAGAUGAUUUUCCACUUUCCAAUAUCCAUAUUUUGUUGGAAAAUUGUGCCAAACAUGAGCUUUCAUCUUUUGUGGAUUAUUACGCGGGGUAUCACCAAAUCAUUAUGGACCUAGAAGAUGCAAAAAAGACAUCAUUUAUCUCAUCAUAAGGGAUGUAUUAUUAUUAAGUCAUACUUGUCAGACUAAAAAAUAUUGGGGAAACUUACAUGAGGGCUAUGACCAUAAUAUUUCAUGACAUGAUGCACAAAGAGAUUGAAGUUUAUGUAGAUGAUAUGAUCAUUAAGUUAAAAAAGCAUUCCUACCAUGUCAAAGAUCUGAGGAAAUUCUUUGAAAGACUUUGCAAGUAUGAUCUCAAACUUAAUCCAGCACAAUGUGUAUUUGGAGUCCCACCUGGAAAGCUCUUUGGAUUUAUAGUCAGUAGGCGUGGUAUUGAGUUAGAUCCUUCAAAGAUAAAAUCUAUUCAAGAACUGCCUCCACCAAAGAACAAAAUGGAGGUUAUGAUCUUAAUUGGAAGGUUGAAUUACAUCAGUAGAUUCAUUGCCCAGCUCACAACAACCUGUGAGCCAAUCUUCAAGUUAUUGAAAAAGAAUGCUAAAUUUGAAUGGAAUAAUGAAUGUCAAGAGGCAUUUGACAAAGUCAAGAGGUACUUAUUGAAUCCACUUGUCUUGGUUGCACUAGAGCCAGGUAGACUUUUGAUAUUAUACAUAUCUACUUUAGAAAACUCUUUUGGGUGUGUGUUGGGUCAAGAUGAUGUCAUGGGAAGAAAAGAACAAUCUAUCUACUACCUUAGCAAAACCAUUUACGAGGCUAAGUACACUCUUCUUGAAAAGACAUAUUACGCCUUGACUUGGGUGGCACAAAAGCUGAAGUAUUCCCUUUCAUUUUACACUACUUACCUCAUUUUUCGUAUGGAUCCUUUAAUGUAUAUUUUUUAGAAGCCUAUGCCCACAGGCAGACUCGCGAAAUGGAAGAUACUGCUCAUAAGAUUUUAUACUGUCCAUGCGACACGAACUGCAAUAAAAACUCAAGCUUUAACAGAUCAUUUAGCUGAAAAUCCUAUUGAUGAGGGAUAAGAGCCAUUGAAGACUUAUUUUUCAGAUGAAGAGAUGUUGUGUGUUGAUAAGGUUAUUUUUAUGAUUACCAUUUAGGUUAAAAGUUAUUCUUUGAUGGAGCUUCUAAUGUAAAAGGAGUAGGGAUAGGAACAAUUCUUAUUUUUGAAUCGGGAUAGUAUUAUCCUGUAAUAGCCCAACUUCGAUUCUACUGUACCAAUAAUAUGGCGAAAUAUGAAGCUUGUAUUCUAGGUUUGAGGCUAGUUGUUGACAUGAGAAUCCAAGAACUAUUGGUGUUAGGAUACCUACACUUACUAGUCCAUCAGAUCCAAGGAGAUUGGGAGACUCGUGACACAAAGCUAAUACCAUAUUGAGGUUGUUUGCAAGAUCUUUGUCAACAAUUUAUAUCAGUAAAGUUCAAACAUAUUCCCAGAGUUCAUAAUGAGAUUGUUGAUGCUUUGGCGACUUUAUCUUUGAUGCUCCAAUAUCUUGACAAGACUCAUAUCGACCCCUUGCAUAUACAGAUCCGUGAUUAACAUGCAUAUUGCAAUGUAGUUGAGGAAGAACUUGAUGGGGAACCUUGGUUAUAUAAUAUCAAAGAAUAUAUUCAGGCUGGAAAAUACCGAAUACAUGUCGAUGGUAACCAAACGAUAACCAUUCAACGACUCGCUAAAGGAUUUUUCCUGAGUGAGGGAAUCUUGUAUAAGAGGACUCCAGAUUUGGGACUUUUAAGGUGCAUAGUAAGUGUAGGUCUCCUAACACCAAUAGUUCUUGGACGUUUAUGAAGUCCCAAAUCUAGAGUCCUCUUAUACAAGAUUCCCCCACUCAGGAAAAAUCCUCUAGUGAGUCGUCGAAUAGUUAUCAUUUGGUUACCGCAUAUGAACGGGACCCGUUCAUAUGCGGUCCCCAUGUACCCGCAUAUGAACGCGUAUGUUUUGGCAAAGAAAAUACUUCAGGCGGGUUACUAUUGGCUCACCAUGAGCGAGAUUCCAUCUGUUUCUUUCGUAAGUGUCAUGAAUGCCAAGUACAUGGGGACUUGAUACAUUCCCGUCUAUCUGAGCUGCAUAUAAUGAUUGCUUCAUAGCCUUUCGUAGCCUGGGGAAUUGAUGUAAUUAAACCAAUUGAACUGAAAGCGUCGAAUGGACAUAGGUUCAUCUUUGCGUUCAUUGAUUAUUUUACAAAGUGGGUGGAAGCAGUGACUUUUAAGUUAGUGACUAAGAAUGCAGUGGUUAAUUUUAUUCACUCUAACAUUAUUUGUCGGUUUGUCAUUCCAAAGAUAAUUAUCAUGGAUAAUGUUGCAAAAAUCAAUAGUCAUUUAAUGCAAGAAAUAUAUCACUAAUUUAAGAUUAUGCAUUGAAAUUCAACUCCUUAUCGCCCAAAGGAAAACGGGGUUGUGGAAGUUGCCAAAAAGAACCUAGAGAAAAUACUUUGCAAGAUGGUUCAAGGAUCCCGACAAUGGCAUAAACAGUUAUCUUUUGCUUUAUUGUGUUAUCGCACUACAGUUUGGACUUUAGUUAGCGCAACUCCUUACUCGUUGGUAUACAAAACUGAAGUAGUUAUACCUGCAGAGAUUGAGAUUCCAUCUCUUUAAGUAGUUGUGGAAGCCAAAAUUGAUGUGAUCAGUGGGUCCAAAUUUGAUUGGAGCAAUUAAGCCUGGUUGAUGAAAAAUGAUUAACGUCAGUAUGUCAUGGUAAAGAAAGUGUUACCCAAUGGUGCAUUAUAUCUGACUUAUAUAGAAGGCAAAAUAGAAGGAAUGUCGAUCAAUGCUGAUGCAGUCAAGCGAUAUUAUGUAUGAUAUUCAUGUAUAAUUAUGUAAUGUAUGUUUUGUACUUGCAUUUUAAAAGAUUGAAAUGAUGAAGGCAUUUUGUUCUACUAUCCAAAUAUUAUAUCAACCAUUGCUUAUCCCCUUUGAACUUUGAUUUGAUUUUUCUUUCAUAACCCUUUUUUGGAAUCAAUUAAAGUCAAAAGUUUUAAAAAAACUAAAAAAGAAAUGAAAAUCAAAAUCAAGCAAAAGAAUGACUUGCCUGAACUACAUUUGAUCUGAUUCUUGCUAUGACAAGAUACAUAGGCAACCCUACUCUGGGGUUCGGUCAAACCAAGUGAAAAUUCAAGUUACCCAAUAUGAAAUAAAACUUGGCCAAAAAUUAUUUUUCUUAAAAGUCUAUUCCAAAAGUUGUAUACAACAAAAACAACAACAAACCUAGUGUAUUCCCACAUAGUGAGGUAUGUGGAGGGUAAGAUGUACGCAAUCCAUACCUCUACCUCUAAAGAAGUAGAAAUGUUGUUUUCGAUAGACCCCCGGCUCGAGACAUGGAAUACUAAACAAAUUCAUAGUAAAGCAUGGAACAAGAUGGCAUAGCAUAAAUACGGCACCCACAAUUAAUAGUAAAUAGAGAAAAGUAACAGACUCGUAAUAAAGCAUGAAACAAGGUAUCAUAACAAGAAUAAUACCCUCACCAAGUAAUUUCCUACACUAGCGACCCAAACUGACCCUAGCCUUCUGCCCUAAUUCGCGUCUUCCAGAUCUUCCUAUCUAGGGUCAUGUCCUUAGUGAGCUGUAACUGCUCAAUGUCCUACCUAAUCACCUCUCCCCAGUACUCUUCGGCCUACCCCUACCCCGCCUAAAACCAUCCAAAGCUAGCCUCUCACACCUACGAACCGGGGCAUCCAUGCCCCUCCUCAUCACGUGUUCGAACCAUCUUAAUCAGACUUCUCGCAUCUUAUUCUCCACUGGAGUCACACCAACCUUCUCUCUGAUAGUCUUAUUCCAAACUCUAUCCCCCUAGUCAGCCCAUAUAUCCAACACAACAUCCGCAUUUCCGCCACCUUCAUUUUUUGAAUGUGGGAGUUCUUAACUGGCCAAUACUCCGCUUCAUACAACAUGGCCGGACGGACUGCCACCCUGUAGAAUUUACCUUUAAGCUUGGGCGGCACCUUCUUAUCAUACAACACCCUCGAAGGGAGCUUUCACUUCAUCCAUCCCGCCCCAAUACGGUGCGAGACCUCCUCGUCAAUCUCACCGUUACCCUGAAUCACGGACCCGAGAUACUUGAAACUAUCCCUCUUACAUACCACCUGUGAUUCCAACUUCACUACCACCUCAUUCUCCAGCCUCACGUCAUUAAACUUGCAUUCCAAAUACUCUUUCUUGCUUCUACUCAACCUGAACCCUUUAGACUCAAGAGUUUGUAUCCAUACCUCUAAUUUAUCAUUCACACCCCCCUCUCCCCCACAUCUCAUCAAUCAAAACUACAUCAUCUGCAAAAAGCAUACUCCAAGGCACCUCUCUUUGAAUACGCUGCGUCAACACAUCCAUCACCAAAACAAGCAAAAAGGGACUAAGAGUAGAUCCCUGAUGCAAUCCUAUUAAGACAGUAAAAUGCUCUGAGUCUCCUCCCGCCGUCCUCACCUGAGUUUUAGCUCCAUCAUACAUGUCCUUAAUUGCUCUGAUAUAUGCCACCGGGACUCUACUCACCUCCAAGCAUCUCCAAAAUACCUCCCUGGGGCCUUUGUCGUAUGCCUUCUCCAAGUCGAUAAAUACCAUAUGCAGGUGCUUCUUCCUCUCCCUAUACUGUUCCACCAGCCUCCGUACAAGGUGAAUUGCCUCCGUCGUCGAGCGGCCAGGCAUAAAUCCAAACUGGUUCUCCGAAAUAGACACUAUCCGUCUCAGCCUCACCUCGACCACUCUCUCCCAAAUCUUCAUAGAGUGACUCAAUAACUUAAUACCCCUAUAGUUAUUGCAACUCUGAAUGUCACCCUUGUUCUUAUAAAGAGGGAUCAUAGUACUCCACCUUCAAGCCUCGGGCAUUUUCGUUGUCUUGAA
rnacentral:lncRNA from 1 species